rnacentral:rRNA from 1 species
GGGGGGGGUAAGCGUUGUUCGGAAUUACUGGGCGUAAAGGGCUCGUAGGCGGCCAACUAAGUCAUACGUGAAAUCCCUCAGCUUAACUGGGGAACUGCGUGUGAUACUGGAUGGCUUGGAUUUGGGAGAGGGAUGCGGAAUUCCAGGUGUAGCGGUGAAAUGCGUAGAUAUCUGGAGGAACACCGGUGGCGAAGGCGGCAUCCUGGACCAAUAUUGACGCUGAGGAGCGAAAGCCAGGGGAGCAAACGGGAUUAGAUACCCCGGUAGUCCUGGCCCUAAACGAUGAAUGCUUGGUGUAGCGGGUAUCGAUCCCUGCUGUGCCGAAGCUAACGCAUUAAGCAUUCCGCCUGGAGAGUACGGUCGCAAGGCUG